rnacentral:rRNA from 1 species
GACGAACGCUGGCGGCGUGGAUUAGGCAUGCAAGUCGAACGGUAGGGACCUUUCGGGGUUCUGAGAGUGGCGAACGGGUGAGUAACACGUAGGUUAUCUACCCUCAAAUUGGGGACAACCCAGGGAAACUUGGGCUAAUACCGAAUGAGUGCAGUUUUAGGAUUGCAUAAAAGAUGGCGUAAGCUGUUGUUUGAGGAUGAGCCUGCGCUCUAUUAGUUAGUUGGUGAGGUAACGGCUCACCAAGGCGAUGAUAGAUAGGCGGCCUUAACGGGUGGUCGCCCACACUGGGAUUGAGAUACGGCCCAGACUCCUACGGGAGGCAGCAGUCGAGAAUAGUCUACAAUGGACGAAAGUCUGAUAGUGCGACGCCGCGUGAACGAUGAAUCCCUUCGGGGUGUAAAGUUCUUUUAUAUGUGAGCAAUGCCUUAUAUGUGAAUAGCAUGUAGGGAGAGAUAUUAGCAUAUGAAUAAGCAACGGCUAACUCCGUG